UACGUAGGGUGCAAGCGUUGUCCGGAAUUAUUGGGCGUAAAGAGCUCGUAGGCGGUUUGUUGCGUCGGCUGUGAAAUCCCGAGGCUCAACCUCGGGUCUGCAGUCGAUACGAGCAAACUAGAGUGUUGCAGGGGAGACUGGAAUUCCUGGUGUAGCGGUGAAAUGCGCAGAUAUCAGGAGGAACACCAGUGGCGAAGGCGGCGAUCUGGGAAGAUACUGACGCUGAGGUGCGAAAGCGUGGGGAGCAAACAGG
rnacentral:rRNA from 1 species